GUGCUUGCUUCGGCAGCACGUACACUAAAAUGGGAACGAUACAGGGAACGUUAGCAUGGCCCUUCGCAAGGAUGACAUGCAAAUUCGUGAAGCGUUCCUAUUUAAA
ensembl:snRNA U6 U6 spliceosomal RNA